UCUUUAAAGAGAAAAAAAAAGAAUAUAUGACUGUAAAGCCUAUGGUAAUAGAAGUACAAAAAGCGGCCCAUUUCAAAGAAUGAAAACAGAAAGGACUCUGCGGAGGCAAAUGGAAGUCAGUCCCGUUAAAGAAGAAAGGAUGAGAAUCCCUCCUUACUCUUCUGUGAACUACCAGGAGGUGCUCAUUAGAAAGGGAACCUCUUCACCGACUGACUUCAGAAGAGGUGCUACUGUGACUGAUCCAGGAAUCCAAAACCAGCAUAGCGCUCAGGUGCAAUACUUCCACAUAGUAACUGAAAGUUCCAGUCAGUUAGGAGGCAUUCUUCUGCCAAAGGCUUUAAAGAAGUCGCUUGAAACACAGAAUGGAAAUACCUUCGGUAGUGUUAGCUGUCCAGUUACUCUGCUGGGAUGUGCUUGGAGGCCGCGUAGUCAUUGCUGCGUCUUCAGUCAGCACGGCAGUCACUGCUGUGUUAGGGAAAAGCAUCUUUCAUAGGAACAACUGCUAGAAGCCAACUUUGAAGUCAGAGAAAUAAAUCUCUACACUUAACAGUGAUCCAGAGCUAACAGAAGAGAAAGAACAUUACCUACCUUUGAACAGAAGCACUUUCUAUGAAGAACUGGAAUGGACUGCCAAAUUCCAGGAACAACAAUGCUUAAAUCUGGC